CUAACACACACCAGUGUAUGUCAAACAUAAGUACAGAAUUUUAUUUAAAUUUUGAACUGCAACUUCGCGGUGGUAGAGCUGCAUCUAUCUCUCGCCUACGCUUGUGGGGUUAGACAGUUCUGGAAUGUGCGCAGAGGAGUGGAGUCACAUGGUGAUUAUGAGCCAUUCCUUACAUCCCUUUAAACUUUGGAGCCUAAGAAGUCAAUAGUUUGGUUAUACGUCUGAGUUUGGUUGUACGGAGUUUGGAAGACAAGAAGAGGUCUCCCUAUACAGUCCCCACUUUGAAAUUCCCGUUUGUAGUCUCCAGACCUCAAAAGUCAGUGGUCUCACAGAAGAGCCCAGGAGUCAUUGGUUUCCCGCUUUUGGCCCAAGCUCCCGGCGUAACGAAUGCUAACGCAGAACCCUCCGCCGACAGCCGCUGCGUCCCGUCCCCCGCUGGUCUAGUCGCCCGCCGCCAACCCCGGGGGCGGGCGCUGCGCCAGGGCUUCGGGACCCAGUGCCAGACCCAGAGCGCCGCCGGGCACCCGAGGGUGACAGCAGGAGAGAAGAGGUGAACACUGGAAAAACAUGACUGAUUCUGUGCAACUUGGAAAAGGAAAAGUCAUCAGCUAGUCCCAUCCUUCCCACACACAAAUACAUUACAGAGAGGGCCAAGCUGGAGGUGAGGUCUUUAGUUUGGAUUGCUGAAUGACAGGGACCAGGUCAUUUCAGAAUGUUUGAAAA
rnacentral:lncRNA from 1 species